rnacentral:rRNA from 1 species
UACGUAGGGUGCGAGCGUUGUCCGGAAUUAUUGGGCGUAAAGAGCUCGUAGGCGGUCUGUCGCGUCGAAUGUGAAAACUCGAGGCUCAACCUCGAGCUGUCGGUGGAAACCGUGUGGCUAGAGUCCGGAAGAGGAGAGUGGAAUUCCCGGUGUAGCGGUGAAAUGCGCAGAUAUCGGGAAGAACACCCGUGGCGAAGGCGGUUCUCUGGGCCUUACCUGACGCUGAGGAGCGAAAGCGUGGGGAGCGAACAGG